rnacentral:sRNA from 1 species
GCGUAGGAAACCAGUGUCUGCUGAAACUGACGUCUGGUGCUGAGCUCCAUCAAUCUCUCACAGUGCCAGGUGUUGAUCGUUGUUAUCACAUUUCCUGUGUGACAUCAGACCGGGUCUGGGUCAGUGAUUAUAGAAACAAUCUCAUGUUGACAGACACAACAGGUGUCCCUCUACAUUGUGUGGAGGAUUCAUGCAGUAGUGCUUUAUAUGGAUUACACACAGUGAACAGUGAGAGUGAACUGAUUUAUAUAGAUAGGAAAUAUAACAUCAAGAAACUGUCAAAGGAUAUGAAAACAACCACCACAUUUAUAGAGAGAACAGACUCUACAUGGCUACCAUGGUGUGUGUACUGGUCCCCGUCCACCGGGGAUCUACUGGUCGGGAUGUAUAACAAUGAUACAGAGACAGGCAAGGUAACCCGGUACAACCAGAGUGGACGACUCACACAAACCAUACAGCACGACAAUACAGAUCUGGGACUGUAAAGAGAACCUCACUAUAUAACAGAGAACAACAAUGGGGAUGUCGUGGUGUCUGACCGUGUUGGUUUGUCUGGUGCUGUAGUGGUGACAGAGCGUGGAGGAAGACAUCGUUUCUCCUACACAGGACAUCCAUCAGGAUCAGUAAUAUGGCCACGUGGAAUCUGUACUGACCCGCUGUCACACAUCCUGGUGUGUGAUGAUAAAACCAACACAGUACAGAUGAUAGACAGGGACGGUCAGUUCCUGUCACAUCUACUGACAAAAUCACAAGAGAUGGAUGGACCACAGAGCCUGAGUUAUGAUGUCAACAUUCACCGUCUCUGGGUCGGAUACAACAACAACAAGGUGUGUGUCUACAGUUAUAUAGACACACAGGACGCUCUGACAGAUAAGGAUACACACCCCACUGGUGUGGAGGCUAUGUCUAGCUCCACUGAUGGGGAGGCCAUGUUUAGCUCCAGUGAUGGGGAGGCCAUGUUUAGCUCAACAACAGCCGUAUAAUGGAGAUAGCUUGGAUAUUGACAGAUACCAGAAAACUAUAUCAAGUAUCAGCGAGAAACAACAUAAUUCAUUUGACUGGUUCCCUAUAGACCGUGGACUGGUAGCCAUUGGUGUCAACAUGAUGAACUCACCAUAAGCCUCUCUCCAACAGUGACUGUCAUGGGUUGGAAUGUCUAUCGACCCUUGAGGGGAAUGGACAUAUUAACUAUUGACUUUCUUUACUGUGGAAUUUAUAUUAAGUGGGUACACAGACAUUUAUCUCUAUUGUGCAUCAAGUACAUUUGAUAAAGAAUACAAACAGUGAAGUGAAUAACAUUUAUUCAAACAUCUGAAAAUGAAGAGGUCAUUUACUAUCGUCAUAGGAUCUUGAUACACGCCACGUACUGUACAUGUACAUGUAUACGUACAUCACCUGAAUUCGUUGAUAAAAAAUCAUAAAGAGAAUAGAUGAAAAGAUAUGCAAGUUUACUGUGUAUUUUUUGUAAUGAUACAUAUAACCAAUAGCCGACUAUUGAUUUUAUAGUGAUACAUAAACCAAUAACCGACUAAUGAUUUUAUAAUGAUACAUCAAACCAAUAACCGACUAAUGAUUUUAUAAUGAUACAUAUAACCAAUAACCGACUAAUGAUUUUAUAAUGAUACAUCAAACCAAUAACCGACUAAUGAUUUUAUAAUGAUACAUAUAACCAAUAACCGACUAAUGAUUUUAUAAUGAUACAUCAAACCAAUAACCGACUAAUGAUUUUAUAAUGAUACAUAAACCAAUAACCGACUAUGAUUCUAUCUCCUCUGUACAUCAUUAUUGUUGAGUGUGUUUUUGAUUCAGCUGUUAAGAGUGUUUGUGUUUUUGAUGUUUUACCCUAAUUUCUUUUUCCUCAGAAAUAAAGAAUGGCUUAUC